rnacentral:rRNA from 1 species
UACGAGGGGUGCAAACGUUAUUCGGAAUCAUUGGGCGUAAAGGGUACGUAGACGGCGAAAUAAGUCAGUCAUUAAAUCUCUCAGCUUAACUGAGAACUUGUGGCUGAAACUGAUUUGCUUGAGGAUGGAGGAGAGAAGCGGAAUUCUCGGAGUAGCGGUAAAAUGCGUAGAUCUCGAGAGGAACACCGAUGGCGAAGGCAGCUUCUUGGUCCAUUUCUGACGUUGAGGUGCGAAAGCGUGGGGAGCAAACAGG